rnacentral:tmRNA from 4 species
GGGGACGUUACGGAUUCGACAAGCACAGUUCGAGCUUGAAUUGCGUUUCGUAGGUUACGUCUACGUUAAAACGUUACAGUUAAAUAUAACUGCUAAAAACGAAAACAACUCUUACGCUUUAGCUGCCUAAAAACAGUUAGCGUAGAUCCUCUCGGCAUCGCCCAUGUGCUCGAGUAAGGGUCUCAAAUUUAGUGGGAUACGUUAAACUUUUCCGUCUGUAAAGUUUAAAAGAGAUCAUCAGACUAGCAAUACAGAAUGCCUGUCACUCGGCAAGCUGUAAAGCGAAACCUCAAAUGAGUUGACUAUGAACGUAGAUUUUUAAGUGUCGAUGUGUUUGGACGCGGGUUCGACUCCCGCCGUCUCCAUUU